CCAGACCCAUUUUUUUUUCAGUUUCGACUUGCUACGACCCCACCUUCACGCCUCCACCACCGCCACCACACGCCGCCACUUGGGGCGGCACCGGUUCCGUUGGAACCACCACACUCCCUACUUUCCAUUCCACCCAACCACCGCCUCGAUCCGCCGCCGUGCACGCCGGAAUCAGCCACGAAAGGUAGCGGUUUGGACAGAUUUU
rnacentral:lncRNA from 1 species